rnacentral:lncRNA from 1 species
UCUGGAACUUUGGAGUUGGACUUUAUUGAGCAGGCAAACUUCCAUCUAUAUAGGUAUGAAUUGUGUAAAUUUUGUUAGUCUAGAGUUUCCAAAUAAAACUAAGAGCUAUUGAGUUUGACAAGAACAUUUGAAAAUAUUUUAGGAUAAAUAGCUUAAUUAAUGGGGAUUCUUCUAAAUUCUUAUUCAAACAGACUGUGUCUAGCAACCAAGUUUGCUAGUUUUGAGAUUAGGUGAUUGUCAAGUGGUACGCAUGAUUAGAGAUGUCAACGGGUCGGAUUCGGGGCGGAUUUUUAAAAACCCGAACCCGAACCCGAAAAUUUGAACCCGAAACAAUUAUUUUUUUUUUCAAUAUUUCAAAAUAUAUUAUAUUAAAUCUAAAUUUUUAAAAUACAAAUUUAAAUAUAACAUCAAAUUUUUAUAUAUAUAUUAUAUAUAAUACAAAAUAAAUUCGGGUUCGGGUCGGGUUCAGGUUCGGGUCGGAUACAAUCAAAAUCCAUAUCCGAAUCCAUAUCCGUCGGGUUUCUAUUUUUAAUAUCCAUAUCCGAAUCCAUAUCCAUAUCCAUCGGAUAUAUCCGUUUCAUUCGGAUUCGGGUUCGGAUAAAAUUUCGGGUAUCCAUACCCAUUGACAUCCCUACGCAUGAUGUGUUUUAGUUUCCAAUUGAAAUAAAUGACUUGGACAAUCUCCUUUUCUCGCUGUUGUUGUUUUUGUUCUUUUGUACACUACAACAAAAACGGUGUAUAGCGACACUUUUAAAUAUCGGUACAUGUCAAAAAAAGUGUUGCUAGCUAAUUACUGAUACUUUUUGAAAGUGUUGCUAUAUGUGGGAUCGUUAUGAGUAGGGCCGUCUUGAUAUUUGGCAU